rnacentral:rRNA from 1 species
AGUGAACGCUGGCGGUAGGCCUAACACAUGCAAGUCGAACGGCAGCACAGUAAGAGCUUGCUCUUACGGGUGGCGAGUAGCGGACGGGUGAGGAAUACAUCGGAAUCUACUUUUUCGUGGGGGAUAACGUAGGGAAACUUACGCUAAUACCGCAUACGACCUACGGGUGGAAGCAGGGGAUCUUCGGACCUUGCGCGAUUGAAUGAGCCGAUGUCGGAUUAGCUAGUUGGCGGGGUAAAGGCCCACCAAGGCGACGAUCCGUAGCUGGUCUGAGAGGAUGAUCAGCCACACUGGAACUGAGACACGGUCCAGACUCCUACGGGAGGCAGCAGUGGGGAAUAUUGGACAAUGGGCGCAAGCCUGAUCCAGCCAUACCGCGUGGGUGAAGAAGGCCUUCGGGUUGUAAAGCCCUUUUGUUGGGAAAGAAAAGCAGCAGGUUAAUACCCCGCUGUUCUGACGGUACCCAAAGAAUAAGCACCGGCUAACUUCGUG